UGUUUGUAUACUUAUCCACUCCUGGGGACUUAACUGGAAAACUUUCCAAUAAUGUUCGCAAUCUGUGCCAUCUACGAAGAGUUGGUAUCGACCCAAGCCGUGUAAUAUGCAUGUCCUCUGACGUCGAAAUCGUUACAAAAAUGGAAGAUGGAGUAAAUACGGAUCGUAACAGGAAAGGAUAGCGGAUAUUUACAAAUACGGGUGUACCUACUGAAUUUCACCAUGUUCUCUGGUGACGAAAUGUUGAAGAAAGGGGAACUGUAUGUUUAAAAACCUUUCCAUCGCAUUCGCAGCCAACCAUUGAUGCGUGGAAGGAACGUAACAACUCUUCUAUAUCGUUGAAGAGACGGACGGCGAAACACGGCCAAAAAUAAUCCGUCCCCCUGGUCAUGCUGCUCCAGCUCCAGCUCCUGCAUCAAUUGGCACUGCACUGCCCCAGAUUUGGCGUGCAUCUUUUCCAGCAUUGAUUAGACCUCCGCCGGAAUUUGGGGGAGCCAGACCGAAAAAUAUCCGCCCCCCUGGUCCUACUGCUCCAGCUCCAGCUCCUGCAUUAAUUGGCGCUGCACUGCCCCAGAUUUUGCGUGCAUCUUCGCCAGCAUUGAUUAGACCUCCACCGGAAUUUGAGGGAGCCAAAUGCUAUCUUACCGGCAUGUGUGAAGAAGCAACAUCUUGCAUGUUCUGUGACGUGAACCAACGUAAAAGUCAAAUCCGGUCGACGAAGUAAGAAGAAAAAAGAAGAAGAAAGUAUUACUGUUGUAGUCUCAAGCGUGAGUUGUUCGGUAAGCUACCAAAUUGUUAUCUCCUAGAAUUUGGGAUCCUGCUGCUCUACAGUAUAUAACAGAUGCAACGCGGGACGGAAGAAUUCCGUCAAAAGUUCGUUAGCGUGUAUACGACGAAUAUCACGUAGUUCUGAAGCCUAAAUCAGUGCAAAAUAUCAAGCGGAAAGUCAUUGACGAAUGGAAGAACGCCGUGGAUAUACUAAACGUUGUCUGUGAACCGUGAUACACCUGGCAGUGUCGUUAAAGUUGUUCAUGACGAAAACAACGAAGUAGCUCAAAUUGUCAUCCUGAACGAAGAUACAGCGCGAGUUAUUCCAAAAUUCGGUGAUUUGGUAGAGAUCGAUGGGACUUACAAGGUGACCAAAACAGGCAUGCCAGUAAACACCAUUUUAGUCGAAGACGAUUUUGUCAUUGGCAAACCUAUAUGCUAAUACAUGUGUUUGCGAGAAGAAACGAAAAUAAGCAUCAAGACAAGAGACAUUAAAAAUUAGAAUAUAGACAUUAAAAUAGAAAGAAACGAUUAAAAAUUUAACCGCAAUUUAAAAUCUAGCACAAUGACAUCAUCCACACGAAAGUAGUCCUUACAGAAGACUGUAAAGAGAUGAAUAAAAAGUUCAGGAGAUUUUCACUUCUGUAUUUCUGAGAUUGUGUCUCUUUCAUGUGUUAGCAGCUGUAGAUAAACGUUUCUCUCAAGCGAAGUUACGCAGGAAUCUUUGGGAAGUAAUUUUCAAGAAAUUUGAAUAAGCCAUCUACGCCACUUCAGAAAACAUAAUAAAAAGACUGUGAAACAUUUCUAAACCAUCACAAAACUCAAGAAUAUUGGAAAGCGUGAAAAUAAGCUGUGGAAAUGUGGAGAAAAAUCUGCUAGUCGCGACCUUCGGCAACACAAUGGGGAAGGGAAUAGGAAGGGGAACUCUUUUUUGGCAAAAGAUUCAGCCAUUCAGGAUGAUUAAUAGCUGUGAUACUAGAAAAGGCAUGAUCUGGACACGCACAAUUGUUAUUUCCAUCAAUCAACCAUAAAUUGAGGAUUUCCUUCUUUUUUUGUCAACUUUACUUUUUAAGACAGACGUUUGUUGACAGAAUGAAGUUGCAAGAUUAACGUCAAAUACACAGCCAAUUUAUGAAUUUAAA